UGAUGGCGUGCCUUUUGAAGAAUGAGCCUGCGAGUCAGCGGCAUGUCGCGAGGUUAACCCGUGUGGGGUAGCCGUAGGGAAACCGAAUCCUAAUGGGGUGUCAAGUGGCAUGUCCUGGACCCGAAGCGGGGUGAUCUACCCAUGGCCAGGUUGAAGCGCGGGUAAGACCGCGUGGAGGACCGAACCCACUUAGGUUGAAAACUGAGGGGAUGACCUGUGGAUAGGGGUGAAAGGCCAAUCAAACUUCGUGAUAGCUGGUUCUCUCCGAAAUGCAUUUAGGUGCAGCGUUGCGUGUUUCUUGCCGGAGGUAGAGCUACUGGAUGGUCUAGGGGGCCCACAAGCUUACCGAAAUCAACCAAACUCCGAAUGCCGGAAAGUUAGAGCGCGGCAG
rnacentral:rRNA from 1 species